UACGAAGGGGGCUAGCGUUGUUCGGAAUCACUGGGCGUAAAGCGCACGCAGGCGGAUCGUUAAGUCAGGGGUGAAAUCCCGGGGCUCAACCCCGGAACUGCCUUUGAUACUGGUAGUCUCGAGUCCGGAAGAGGUGAGUGGAAUUCCGAGUGUAGAGGUGAAAUUCGUAGAUAUUCGGAGGAACACCAGUGGCGAAGGCGGCUCACUGGUCCGGUACUGACGCUGAGGUGCGAAAGCGUGGGGAGCAAACAGG
rnacentral:rRNA from 1 species